rnacentral:rRNA from 1 species
AGAACGAACGCUGGCGGCAGGCUUAACACAUGCAAGUCGAACGCCCCGCAAGGGGAGUGGCAGACGGGUGAGUAACACGUGGGAACGUCCCCCCUCGGUUCGGAAUAACUCAGGGAAACUUGAGCUAAUACCGGAUACGUCCGAGAGGAGAAAGAUUUAUCGCCGAGGGAUCGGCCCGCGUCUGAUUAGCUAGUUGGUAGGGUAACGGCCUACCAAGGCGACGAUCAGUAGCUGGUCUGAGAGGAUGACCAGCCACACUGGGACUGAGACACGGCCCAGACUCCUACGGGAGGCAGCAGUGGGGAAUCUUGGACAAUGGGCGCAAGCCUGAUCCAGCCAUGCCGCGUGAGUGAUGAAGGCCUUAGGGUUGUAAAGCUCUUUCGACGGGGACGAUAAUGACGGUACCGUAGAAGAAGCCCCGGCUAACUUCGUGCCAGCAGCCGC